GUGGUUGUGGCUUAGUGGUAGUGCACUUGCCCAGCAUGCAUGAGGCACUGGGUUCGAUUCUCAGCACCAUA
rfam:Ictidomys tridecemlineatus contig054027, whole genome shotgun sequence.